GACGAACGCUGGCGGCGUGCCUAAUACAUGCAAGUAGGACGCAGUUGCGAACGGGUGAGUAACGCGUAGGUAACUGCCCCUUAGAGGGGGAUAACUAUUGGAAACGAUAGCUAAUACCGCAUACUAGUAGAUGGACCUGCGUUGUAUUAGCUAGUAGGUAGGGUAAUGGCCUACCUAGGCAACGAUACACAGCCGACCUGAGAGGGUAGUCGGCCACACUGGGACUGGAACACGGCGCAGAGUCCUACGGGAGGCAGCAGUAGGGAAUCUUCGGCAAUAGGGGUAACCCUGACCGAGCAACGCAGCGUGAGUGAAUAAGGUUUUCGGAUCGUAAAGCGCUGUUGUUACGGAAGCGGUACUUAACCAGAAAGGGACGGCUAACUACGUGCCAGCAACCGCAGUAAGUC
rnacentral:rRNA from 1 species